AACGAACGCUGGCGGCGUGCUUAAGACAUGCAAGUCGUGCGAGAAAGCCACCUUCGGGUGGUGAGUAAAGCGGCGCACGGGUGAGUAACGCGUGGAUAAUCUACCUGUAGGUCUGGGAUAACUCCGGGAAACUGGGGCUAAUACCGGAUAAGACCACGGGGCCUUCGGGUCUCGCGGAAAAAGGUGGCCUCUUCUUGAAAGCUACCGCCUAUCGAUGAGUCCGCGUCCCAUUAGCUUGUUGGCGAGGUAAAAGCUCACCAAGGCUUCGAUGGGUAGCUGGUCUGAGAGGAUGAUCAGCCACACUGGAACUGAGACACGGUCCAGACUCCUGCGGGAGGCAGCAGUCGGGAAUUUUGGGCAAUGGGGGAAACCCUGACCCAGCAACGCCGCGUGAGGGAUGAAGGCCCUCGGGUCGUAAACCUCUGUCGGAAGGGAAGAAAGGUCUCCGUUCGAAUAGAGCGGGGGCUUGACGGUACCUUCAAAGGAAGCACCGGCUAACUCCGUG
rnacentral:rRNA from 1 species